rnacentral:rRNA from 1 species
AGUGAACGCUGGCGGCGUGCUUAACACAUGCAAGUCGAACGAGAACGGAAUACAGCUUGCUAUAUUUGUCAGCUAAGUGGCGCACGGGUGAGUAAUGUAUAGAUAACCUGCCCUUAAGAAAGGAAUAACAGUUGGAAACGACUGCUAAUGCCCUAUAUGCCUUUAAUACAUAAGUAUGCAAGGGAAACGCUUUAGUGCUUAAGGAUGGGUCUGUAUGGUAUCAGCUUGUUGGUGAGGUAAUGGCUCACCAAGGCUACGACGCCUAACUGGUUUGAGAGGAUGAUCAGUCACACUGGAACUGAGACACGGUCCAGACUCCUACGGGAGGCAGCAGUGGGGAAUAUUGCACAAUGGACGAAAGUCUGAUGCAGCAACGCCGCGUGGAGGAUGACACAUUUCGGUGCGUAAACUCCUUUUAUAUAGGAAGAUAAUGACGGUACUAUAUGAAUAAGCACCGGCUAACUCCGUGCCAGCCGCCGCCGUAAGAC